rnacentral:lncRNA from 1 species
AUGCUUAAAAAGCAAUCGACUUACAAGGGUAUGGAAAUGGGCUCGACAUUGAAUCGAGAAAAGUGCGAUUCUAAUAGUUUAAAGCGGUUUGAAUGGAUGAUGAAAUUAAAGGAAACCAAACUUGUGCUAUUAAAUAAUAAUGAAACUAUGAGUAUAAAAAAAAUGAAUGCUAAAAGAAAUAAAAUGCUAUAUAUGGGUAUUGAACCCACUCCACUAAAG